GGGAGACCUGGAAUACAGUUUCGUUAAACGUCACUGACUGCCGCACAAUUUACGAUUGUCAUAUGUGAUACAACAUUUAUGAAACCCUUGAGAAGAGAACCGCUUAAUCUCUACCGUAGGCCAUCAGCUUCUUGCAGCAAUUACCUUAAGGCAUUCGGUGAUUCCUCCUCUGCAACCUUGCAAAGACAGCAUCAUUUUACACGUGACUCAUUCAUUUGACCCAGCAGGUUAUGCGACAUACAGACAACUUCGCCUCCACCGCUACGGACAACUCACCAAUCCAGAAAAUCUUUUCUUUCUGCCAGCCCAUUCCUAGCAUCUGAGGAAGUAGGCUGCUACCUACGAACGCUCGUGUGUCUGUGAACAAGUCACGAAGGUGCCACCUUCUGCCUUUCUCAUUUGGUACUAUGAGAAGGAUAAGAGAGUCAUCACUCCCUGACAUAUCCUGACCCUACUGGGAAGCCAAGCUGGGAAGCCAAGCUUUAGGUAACUAAGUAGAGCCAGCCAGGAGCAUAGAAACACAGAGCUAGGAACAUAGAAACUGCCGUUAUCAGAUCAGGUGAACGACCUGCCAAAUCCUGCAUCCAAUAUCAGGUGCUUCAAAGAAGACAGGGCUUAAAAACCUUGCAGAAGAGACAAUUUUGGGAUGACCUGCUCGGAGGGAAAAUUUCGUCCCCGCAUUUGUUUCUAGGCAAUUAGACAUUGGUUUACACUUCAAAGCAGGUUUUCUCUAUUAUAAAUAUUUAUCCUAGCGGAUACCACUUUGUCUGCCUCCUCGGGACUAGCAGGUAUUUCCUAGUAUUCCCAGAGUUCAUGUGGGAUUUGGGUAAUCAAGAGGUGAGGGACUGGGUCUCUCCAGAUAGGGAAAUGGAGUACUUAAGCAAGUACUAAAUGACUGCGCAGUAACAACUGCGCAGUCGGGUGCUCGAGUAGACGUGCCCAAUGUGAGCAACGUUUGUAUAAAUGGCAUACAGAGGCAGAUAAAUCCUGGUAAGGAAUUCUGCACAGAGCCACUGUACCAUCGCUGUGAUGGAAACAUCCACGUGACAAAUUGCAGCACCGUCAAAUACACUGCCUGUAUCCUACAUCUUUGGCUAAUUCACCUCUACUUUCCCCACUAAUCCCUCUUUGCUGGGAAUAUUUCUACAGUUAGCUUUUAAACAGCUAUCUAUUAAAAGAAAACCCAUCCCCAAGGAAGUUUCUCUUUUGCAUAAAAUGUAGCAUUUUGUCAAAAAAUAAAAAGUAAUCUAUGCCUCAGGGCUGGUACUAUUCA